GGGGGCCCGCAAGGGCAACCGGCGAACGGGUGCGUAACACGUGAGCAACCUGCCGAUCUGCGGGGGAUAGCCGGCCCAACGGCCGGGUAAUACCGCAUACGUUCUCGAAGGGGAGUCCUUUUGAGAGGAAACCUUUAUUGGGCGGAUCGAGGGGCUCGCGGCCUAUCAGCUAGUUGGCGGGGUAAUGGCCCACCAAGGCUCUGACGGGUAGCUGGUCUGAGAGGAUGGCCAGCCACAUUGGGACUGAGAAACGGCCCAGACUCCUACGGGAGGCAGCAGUGGGGAAUCUUGCGCAAUGGCCGAAAGGCUGACGCAGCGACGCCGCGUGUGGGAGGACGCCCUUCGGGGUGUAAACCACUGUUGCCCGGGACGAACAUCUGGUUUCGACCAGACUGACGGUACCGGGUGAGGAAGCACCGGCUAACUCCGUGCCAGCAGCCGCGGUAAUACGGAGGGUGCGAGCGUUGUCCGGAAUCACUGGGCGUAAAGGGCGCGUANGCGGCGCGGAUAGUCGGCGGUGAAAGCCCGGAGCUCAACUCCGGGUCGGCCGUCGAUACUUCCGGGCUUGAGCACUGUAGAGGCAGAUGGAAUUCCGGGUGUAGCGGUGGAAUGCGUAGAGAUCCGGAAGAACACCGGUGGCGAAGGCGGUCUGCUGGGCAGUUGCUGACGCUGAUGCGCGACAGCGUGGGGAGCAAACAGGAUUAGAUACCCUGGUAGUCCACGCCGUAAACGAUGGGCACUAGGUGCUUGGGGGAGCGACCCUCUGAGUGCCGGCGCUAACGCAUUAAGUGCCCC
rnacentral:rRNA from 1 species